GAUGAACGCUGGCGGCGUGCCUAAUACAUGCAAGUCGAGCGAACAGACGAGGAGCUUGCUCCUCUGACGUUAGCGGCGGACGGGUGAGUAUCACGUGGAUAACCUACCUAUAAGACUGGGAUAACUUCGGGAAACCGGAGCUAAUACCGGAUAAUAUAUUGAACCGCAUGGUUCAAUAGUGAAAGACGGUUUUGCUGUCACUUAUAGAUGGAUCCGCGCCGCAUUAGCUAGUUGGUAAGGUAACGGCUUACCAAGGCAACGAUGCGUAGCCGACCUGAGAGAGUGAUCGGCCACACUGGAACUGAGACACGGUCCAGACGCCUACGGGAGGCAGCAGUAGGGAAUCUGCCGCAAUGGGCGAAAGCCUGACGGAGCAACGCCGCGUGAGUGAUGAGGGUCUUCGGAUCGUAAAACUCUGUUAUUAGGGAAGAACAAAUGUGUAAGUAGCUAUGCACGGCUUGACGGUACCUAAUCAGAAAGCCACGGCUAACUACGUG
rnacentral:rRNA from 1 species